rnacentral:rRNA from 1 species
GAUGAACGCUGGCGGCGUGCCUAAUACAUGCAAGUCGAGCGAACGGACGAGGAUCUUUCUUCGCUUAUGUUAGCGGCGGACGGGUGAUUAACACGUAUAUAACCGACCUAUAAGACUGGGGUAACUUCGGGGAACCUUAUCUAACACCCGACAAUAUGUUGAACCGCGUGGUUCAAAGGACAAAGACGGUUUUGCUGUCCCUUAGAGAUGUAUCCUCGCUGCAUUAGCUAGUUGGUAAGGUAACGGCCUACCAAGGCGACGAUGCGUAGCUGAUCUGAGAGGAUGAUCAGUCACACUGGAACUGAGACACGGUCCAGACUCCUACGGGAGGCAGCAGUGGGGAAUAUUGGGCAAUGGGCGAAAGCCUGAUGCAGCCAUGCCGCGUGUGUGAAGAAGGUCUUCGGAUUGUAAAACUCUGUUAGUUGGGAGGAAGAGAAGUGUAAGAAUCCCUGGCUGUUUUGACGUUACCAACAGAAAAAGCACCGGCUAACUACGUG